rnacentral:lncRNA from 1 species
AUGAGAAUUCUUGAGCUGUCAAAGCACAGGAUUUCAAAGGGCAGAAAUACUGAAAUGGAAAGAAAAGGAGAGUCUGUCCUGGGAGCCGAAAGAAGUGUUUUGUUUAAGCUUAGGAGUCCAAGACAGAUACGGCUCCUCUGCAUAAGAGCAGCAGGAAGGGGCCACUUUCCAGCAAAGCCUGAACUGCUGCUGAAAGCCGCAUUUCCUGCUACACAGAGCUCCCAACCAAAGCAGAAAUCAAAACAAGAGCAAACCCAGUGUGGACUCUGGCAAGGAUCGCCCUCUCUUCAUAUAUAAAAGGGAAGCAUUUAGCCUGACCUCAUAAAAGAGAGAACUUAAAGGACCGUUCUACACUUUGAAAUCUUACCCUCGAUGGCAUGGAAACAAAACGCUGACUUGGGAAUUUCAGCAGCUCAUUUCACGUUCUGCUCAGCCCUCUGUACUUCCUGAGCAUGAAUCGGCCAUUGCAUCAUCCCAGGAAAAUGAAGGUUAUUGGGUCACUGGCUGCCCUUAUAAUCUGCUCAGUAAGGAAUUUCUCAAGGGUAUAGACCAGUGCCCAGAAUAACAUUUAACAAGGUCUGGAAAAUUUGGCCUGCUACAAGCAGAGACUUUUUAAAAGUUUGCAGGAGGCCUACCGUUUGGAUGAGUUAGCAGCACACCCCCCUCUAUAAACAUCACUUAAAACAGCUGCCUCCAGGAACCAUGGAGAGAAAUAGCUGAGGGAAGGUCCAGAUGACUUUGCUAGUAGUUUAGUAUGUUUCUUAAUGUAUGGGCCUGUGCUAAAUGGAGAGAAAUCAAUGUCGAGAUUUUCUUGCUCCUGUUUGCCUCCGGAACAUCAGCCCUCCUCUUACACAGCCACUCACUCCACAUGCAAACUGCACCCUGGAGAGCACGUAUGGCUGAAACUUCAUGCAAAGCAGUACUGCCUCUUCCAUUGCAAGUCCUGUGUAUUUUCUGUAUGUGCUAUAUAUGAGCCAUUUCUUUAGAGGGACAGAACAGUAUCUGCUUUCUCUGAAUUUUGUACCAGACUAUAAAGGACAAUUCAGUGGCUCUGUUCACCAGUUGGAUCGCACUAUUUCACCAGGGAAUAGUUCCUGGGAUUUAAAGAAACUUCCCACCCACUGGGUAAAGGCAGAGACAGACAAGAUUCAACUUACUGAGAGCAGAAAAGUGCUGUCACUGUAGAAACCCAAACAUGUUGUGCUGUGCAAUCUCAGGCUCCCUCUCUACUUGCUCUGGUGAUGAUUUGACUGUGAGCUUGGAGGCUCUUCCCAAGCUGUUCUACAGCGCUCCUCUUACUAACUCCUCUUACUAGUACUCUGCCUACUAGUCCUGACAGUUCCUCUCUGCCUGCAUGAAUGACCUGGUUCUGCUGUCCUUGCAGCUGGUCACUGUGGGAGUGUUUGACUGGAAAGCAUUUUCUGCUCACAUUCUUUUUGCCCACAGGAGAGAGGUGAGUUGAUGAGAAGUUAUUGUUCUUCUCUAGGAAGUGUUUCUAAUUUCUCCCAUUUGUGUCUUGUGAUAUCAACUGAUCCUACGCCUAGAGAAGCUGCUGCUUGUGCCCCAUCACCUGAUCCCACACCACAACUACUGGUUCACCUCUUCUUCAGCAAGCAAUGCUUAACUGUAGCACAGUUUUUCUGCAGGCAAAGUGUGAAACUGCAAAUAUACUAGCGACCACAAUUCCAUACAGCAUCCUUGUACUACACAGAUAGAUGAAAUGUCUACAGACAGAAUGAUCAAAGCUUGAAAAUGUUUGUGGAAUAACUUCUGGUUAACAAGCCCGCUUUUAUAAUGGGUAACAUAUGAGAACAAAAGGUGCAGGAGAACAUCGGCUUUGGAAAAUGGAGCUUAAUACAAAAUUAUGUAUUGCAUAUUGUUUUAAAAAACCCAGUGUAAGUAGUGCUUAGCUGUGAUUAGAAGAAAUCUAAAACAUCUGCAAGAGCUCUUAAAUAAAUGAUGGAAAGUGGGAAGAAUUUAACA